rnacentral:misc_RNA from 1 species
AGUCAGUUGUAUAAGUACUCUAGGACUUUUGAAUUGGAGUAUGGAAACGAAUGCGAUCGUAAUGGUGGUGGUAAUUGCGACCCUCUUGGUCGCAGCUCUGGGAUUUUGCCCAAGUUUAUGACAAUUCAAGGAAUUCGGUGUGAACGUGAGGGUGGAAUUCGGGUUUUGAUAGGAUUCUCAAACUCUGGUUAUUUUGGCUCUGGACCUUUUAGUUAUGAGAGAGUUUUUGAUCCUAAUAGAAUGUUAAUUGGUGAGGGAGUGUGG